ACAAUCUUAGGUUUUCUGCCAUUCCGGGGGUUAACCAAUUUUUGUCAAAAUUAUCCUUUCAUUUUUUUUCACGACGACGACUCCCAAGUUGUUCUCCAAUGGCUCGUGAGGCAAGAGCAGCGGCGAGCGGAGGCGGUUGCGAGCAGCGGCGAGCGGAGGCGGUUGCGAGCAGCGGCGAGCGGAGGCGGCUACGAGCAGCGGCGAGCGGAGGCGGCUGCGAGCAGCGGCGAGCGAAGUCGGCAGGGAGCAAUGGCAAGCAAUGGGGGCGAGCAAUGAGCAACGGCUGAGGCGAAGCGAGCAGUGGCGGCGACGCAACCUAGCCUACGAUGAUAGCAGGAGCGGAGGAAGAAGGAAAAUGAUUUUUGGCUUAGGCAGUUGAAACCCUAAUACUCACCUUUUACCAUUCGCUGCUACCGAGCCACACACUCACGACCUCCUCCGCUAGCAAGCGCCGAAGAAGGAAAAAGCCCUGCCUCUGUCUUUGUAGCCGACCAAAUUUGGGGGAGGCAAGCCCCGCCUGUCUAACCAUUUUUCAUGCACUAAACAACUGCUGAAGAAGGAGAAAGCCCCACCUCCAUCUUCAAAGUCGGCCCUGACCUCUUUCUAGCCAUUUUCAUGCACUAAACAGGCAUCGAAGAAGGAGAAAGACUCGCCUUUGUCUUCGAAGUCAGCCAAAUUUAGGGGAGGCAAGCAUAAGAAGAAGGACUGGCACACAGUUGAACUUUUCGCUUGUAAAUGUUGCUGGUAAUGACAUUGUCCAAGGAAAUAAGAAGCUUAUUCUGGGUUCCAUUGGGGAAGUGCCAAUUCUCUUGGUGAAGCCACAAUCCUACAUGAACUACAGCGGAGAAUCGGUAGGGCCACUUGCUGCAUAUUAUCAAGUGCCAUUACGGCAUAUUUUACUUAUGUAUGACGAAAUGAGUUUGCCCAAUGGUGUUUUGAGGGUUCAGCGAAAAGGCGGUCAUGGACAUCACCAUGGAUUCUCCGAAUGCCUCCUGAAGCUGUCGAUCUUGUAUCUAGACUUCUACAAUACUCUCCAAACCUGAGAUGCACUGCUUACAGUUGGAAGCACUAGUUCAUCCAUUCUUUGAUGAGCACUAGUUGUUUGACAGACCAGUUUAAAGCCGCAUCCACUUGUUUAGAUCUAAGAUGGACUACUACACCGAGGUUGGUGAGUUGGCUAGCAUCUGAAUUAAGGAUUCGUCAGAGUUAUUUGACACGAGGAUCGGAGUUAACUUGAGGAUCGGAGAUGGCCACUGAGGACUUAACUAAUUUUAUGGAAUGAAAAGUGUGCCAUAAUGAAUUUACAAUUUCUAAUUGAUGAAGUGUCAUUUGUGCGACGGGGUUGCAUGCAACUGGAGUUCGGACUACGUUGAACUCUGUUUUUUAAUUUGUUGUGUUAGAUUUUGUAGUUUAAAAGAUGUAAUCUUGCAUCCUGUAUAAUUAUACUCGAGUUGUUUCAAUCCAAAUUCUUUAAUUGUUAGGUGCUA